CUGUAAGGAAGCCCCGCUAAGUGCGCGACGUCCUGUCGCAACGCGGGACGCAUACAUCCUGUAUG
rfam:Tumebacillus sp. AR23208, complete genome.